CCCCUUUUCUAGAGUCCUUCUACAUUUCCGAACCUCCAACCACAUAUUCCUUUUGCUUCCUUCACCUUCUCCUCUUUACAUAUCGCUCAACACCGCCACUCAACACUGCCAACCUUUAUCCUUUCUAUUUGUCAGUUUUACCCAUUUCUUUUGAGUUUCACAAUGAUUGAUUACCUUACUCCAGCAUGGACCCCCUCACCACCUCAUGUAUAUUUUUAGACUAGAAGCUCUAUUCUGGUCUCUCCUAUGACAGUUUCUUUCCCUCUUUUCAUCCUAUUAUCCAGUUGCUUUAACAACCUGCCUCUACCAUGUCACCUAAACUAAAAACACAAAUCUCACCUGUUUUGGUCUAGGGUUCAAACCUCUUCCCCUUCUGAGUCUGCUUCCUUCUUCCAAGCUCAUGUCGUAUAUAUGAAACACGAACUUCGUUUUCUCUUUCUCUAGGUCAGCGCGUCUGCUCUUUAUCCCUUACAUGUGAAGUGCCUUCAUACUUCCUUCUUUCACCAUUUCACAUCUGCAUACUUGCCUUCCAGAGCUCCCAAGUUGUAUCAACCCAAGGCUAACCAAGUCUUUAACCACCUACUCAGACUCCAGGAAUGCCACGGGGUCCUGUGGAAAUGCUACAGCAACAUGAGACCAGCACGGCCACUCUACACAUCAGUCUCCCAGGCAUGUGCAUUCGGUGAAAAUACCAAGGAACUGAGAUAUGAAAUCUGUCAAGUCACAUAGUGAGAUCCUAUAGAUCAUUCAACUGCCCAGCCCAAAUCAUCCAAUAAAAUAUGAUGUUUCUCUGA